CCACGGCCGAGAAGUGCCACCUCCCUGCCUGCACAAUCGCUAGUGCUGGCAUCUGUGCACGCCUGGUCGGUGCCAGCUGUCCUCCUCAGUUUUGGAGGGAGUGUUGUGGUGGUCAUUCCAGGGCAGCGGAUGCUGCAGAGGGUGUCAAACUGAGCGCAAAGUCAAUUAUCUGUGGGCAACCCUGGAAGGCACCUCCUUAGACCACCCCAUGUGCUUCAGGUGACCCAGGAGGGCCUGUGCUGGCACCAGCAGCACCACCAGGACAGAUGUUGCAGUCAAAGAUAACUGGUGCCACCUGAGCAAGCCCAUAUCACCCAGCUCCUCACCAAUCCCACUCCUCCACAGGCCGUCCUAAAGGGUAUGUGAAGCCUUUACAGACUUUCUCUCAUUUUUUGAGGUCUUUUGCUUCAGGGGCUCCUGCUUGUACCACCUGAUUAGUGACCAGCUGUGGCUCCACCACUUUCAUGCUAAGAAAUUUGUGUUUGCAGCCCUCAGAGAAGAUGCAUCAUUGGUUCUCCAAGCACUGGGACAUACACUUGAAAGGAGACCACACCAACCCAAAAUCAGGAUUUCUAACCUGCUCGUCAGGGCUCUAGCUCAAGAAGUCUCAGCCUGCUGUACCUGUGUGCUGGCCCCUUGGCAAGGAUGAUAGUGCAACACGUGCUUUGCUGAGCCAAAGCAAAAUGGCAUUGCUGCCCAUCCCUGCUGGCUGUCAGCAGGCCCAUGCGAUUUGUGUCACUGCUCUGCCAUUUCAGCAAAGGACACAGCAGCGGAUGGAAGGACACACAGCUGACUGGUGCACAGGGCCUUUCACCACUCCUUCCCAGACCAUUUCCUGGGUACUGUGCUUCUCCAGCCUGGCAAAUUUUCUUUCCAUCUACUCUUUCACCUCCCACGAGGCUACUACAGAUCCUGUCCAUGUACAAGGUUUUUGCAUUAAUGAAUUGUAGAGAAGUUUGGGAUCCUGUGAUGAAUCGUGCACUAAGGUCAUAAAAGACUUUUUAAAGUGUUUCUGAAUGUUACUGGAGACAAUCCAAAGGCAACUUUAAUUUGAAUUUUCUAUCUCAACCGUAUGAGUUUGGCAAGAGCAAAAAUACGUUCUGGGGGUAUUUUGGGGGACUUUACUCCAUGGGAGGAACGAAGAGUGCAGAACCUGAGACUUCAACUCGUCCCUAAUGAAAACAAAUGCCUUCGGCGGGGCAGAAGAUUACUGCCAAGGUCAGCAUUAACCUGGGCCGUCUGGAGUCGGGCCGGGCGGCCGGCGCUCCUGGGGCGAGGGGACAGCAAAGGGAAGGGGGCAGCCCCCUCGGGGAGCCCUGCCGGGGCCGAGCCGGCUCAGGGGCUGGCACCAGGGCCCCGUCCCUUGGCCCGCACUGCCUCCCAGCGGGCAUCGGCUGCUCCUCCUCCGUGGGGAAGGGCUGCCGGCUGAGGAAGCUGCUGCCCUAGGGCAGCUGAAGGGGAAUUGACUUAUGGCCGGGUGCCGGGCUGCUGGGAAGCAGAGCCCGGCCACACGCGGGAUCACCCUCCAGCGGGGAGCACUGUGUGGUCUUGGAUGUGCCCUUCAUUCAUGGGUAUCGGCAGGAUGUAAGCCUCCAUUUAAAAAAAAAAUAAUCGGUGGGCAACCUUACAAAUGUGAAAUCGUGUAGUAUUGACCGGCACGCAGGCAGCCCUGUCCCUGUCACUCAGCUUUGACAAGCAGCAGCAGAGCGGCUUCCCAGGGCCGCAGCCAGCUGUACGCCACCCUCUGUGCAGCGCUUUCAGCGAUUUAUUUCUUCUUCGUGAGUAUGCACCAGCACAGGAGAACAGAAAGGGAUCCCCAAAAUGGAAACUUAAGCCCAGGGAGGCUAAGCCAUGUCUUGCUGCAGUUAAGGUCUCCUGAAGUCGGGGGCUUCCACCCCCCAGCCUUGUGCAGGUGCUGUUGUCAUCCCAAAAACAGGCACUGGAGCCUUCAUGUGGAGAUGUCAGUGUGGUCGCUGCCAUCACAAAUGGGGAGGGAGCUUGGGGAAAACACCCCUGGGGCCCUCUCCUCCAGCCCUGUGGAAGUCAGAGGGCCGUGCAAACAGCUGUAAGGGUUAGAGCUGUUGCCCAUGCUGUAAGUGCUGCCUUCCCAUGCCUCGUACCUUGUAGCGUGGGGAAGGAUCACAGGGUGCUAUAUAGCACUUGCACGGGUUAUAUGAAUAAACAAAGAUUUCUGUGUCUAGGUGUGUCAGCUACAAAGGUCACUCUGUUUCUUUUUUUCCUCCAAAGUGAUCCUGUUCAGGGUGUAAUAUCCUGUUUUAUUUCUACAUUGCUUAUCAUUGAAAGUUAAUGUUCAGGAUUGCUGGAUCUGAUAUACUCACAAUGCACACAGGGAAAAAAAGAGGCUGAAAAAUGUCAAAACAAGCGGAUAUUACUGAGAGUAUAGAAAAGGCAAAAGUGUUACAUGGGGAGUAUUGUCCUUACAUCACUGUGCUUUGUGGAGGACUCAAAUAAUCAGGUUUUUGUGUGCGUGCAUGCGUGUGACAGCCUUUCAAAGGCGGAAAUAGGAUGCCUAACUUUUAAUGCAGAAAAUUAGUAACGAAAUACAUGCAAAGCUUCGGGCUGAUAAGAUCUCUGCAAUCUCCUCCAGAAUCUGCUACCCUGAAGAAAAAUGUGUUGACUUUACAGGCUUGUCCUGAACGCGCACCAGUGCCGUUCUGCCCCGGCUGCCUUCAGUAAUUAAUGGGGCCUGUGUUCGCCCGGCUGUAUGUCCAUCACUGCGCUCACACUGCGCUCGGAUUUUCACCAGCCAGUGCCCCAUCGCACACCACGAGAAAAGAGAAGCGGGGAGGACAAAUCGAUAAAGGACCCCCCCGUAUACACCCACACAGCGCUCGGGAAGCUCUGGGGCCCCUUCCCCUUUCGUUUUGCGGGGGCGCGGUGGAGCCCGGGGCUGCGGCAGGUGCAGCGGGGACCCCGCCCGGGCUGGGGGCUCGGUGCCGGUGCGGGGCUCG